AGGCAAAUAUGUAUAUAGAAUGAUGUCUAGUUGCUAUAUUUAGGGAAGGCAGAAAAAUACACGAAUUACGCCCUACAAAACAGCGCCAUAACACGGAUCAUUUCCAGCUUCACAACAAGAGGACAACAAUAAACUUAAUAUUAAAAUGGGC
rnacentral:misc_RNA from 1 species